GCAGUCGAGCGAUGAUAAAGAUAGCUUGCUAUUUUUAUGAAGAGCGGCGAACGGGUGAGUAACGCGUGGGAAAUCUGCCGAGUAGCGGGGGACAACGUUUGGAAACGAACGCUAAUACCGCAUAACAAUGAGAAUCGCAUGAUUCUUAUUUAAAAGAAGCAAUUGCUUCACUACUUGAUGAUCCCGCGUUGUAUUAGCUAGUUGGUAGUGUAAAGGACUACCAAGGCGAUGAUACAUAGCCGACCUGAGAGGGUGAUCGGCCACACUGGGACUGAGACACGGCCCAGACUCCUACGGGAGGCAGCAGUAGGGAAUCUUCGGCAAUGGGGGCAACCCUGACCGAGCAACGCCGCGUGAGUGAAGAAGGUUUUCGGAUCGUAAAACUCUGUUGUUAGAGAAGAACGUUAAGUAGAGUGGAAAAUUACUUAAGUGACGGUAUCUAACCAGAAAGGGACGGCUAACUACGUGCCAGCAGCCGCGGUAAUACGUAGGUCCCAAGCGUUGUCCGGAUUUAUUGGGCGUAAAGCGAGCGCAGGUGGUUUCUUAAGUCUGAUGUAAAAGGCAGUGGCUCAACCAUUGUGUGCAUUGGAAACUGGGAGACUUGAGUGCAGGAGAGGAGAGUGGAAUUCCAUGUGUAGCGGUGAAAUGCGUAGAUAUAUGGAGGAACACCGGAGGCGAAAGCGGCUCUCUGGCCUGGUACUGACACUG
rnacentral:rRNA from 1 species